rnacentral:rRNA from 1 species
GACGAACGCUGGCGGCGUGCCUAAUACAUGCAAGUCGAACGCAGUGGGGACGGGUGAGUAACACGUGGGUAACCUCCCAUCAGAGGGGAUAACACUUGGAAACAGGUGCUAAACCGAUACUGAUGGAUGGACCCUCGGUGCAUUAGCUAGUUGGUGAGGUAACGGCUCACCAAGGCAACGAUGCAUAGCCGAACUGAGAGGGAGUUGGGCAACACUGGGACUAAGACAGGGACCAGAUUCCUAUGGGGGGAAGGAAGAGGGAAUCUAAGGCAAUGGACGAAAUUCUGAAGCAGCAACGCCGUGUGAGUGAAGAAGGUUUUCGGAACGUAAAGCUCUGUUGUUAGAGAGGCAGUAUCUAACCAGAAGGCCACGGCUAACUACGUGCCAGCAGCCGCGGUAAUUC